rnacentral:lncRNA from 1 species
UCAACUCCAAUCUGCAGAAAACCGGAUCUGCCAAGGGCAAGGCCCUCGUCCACGGAUCUGGAGGGGAAAAAUCAUUUUCUUCGUUGUUUCGGUCGGUGAGGCUGUAUCACACGUCAAUUACUUGCGCUUUUCUCCUAGCUAUUGUUCAUCAGUUUCAGAUUUGAACUUUUUUGGUGAUUUUUAUUUUGUUCCAUCUAUUCCAUUGGUACGGGUGAUCUAGCAGUAUGGCUCGAUCGAGAUGCAUAUCACUUUUCUUGUUGACUCCAAAAUAGAAUGCUCUCCUUUAUUUUCUUGUAAUCCCCUUCCAUCUAUUCCUUCUGUACAGAUGCGGUUUUCUUUUGUUUACUUGUAAUCCCCUUUGUCCGGAUUGGAUAGGUCUCUCCUCAUCUUGUUGUUGCACAGAUCCGAAUUUGCCAUGAUGUAUUUUUAGACAAUAUAGAGAUUUUUUUUAUUCAUAACCAUGCUUAUGUGCCAGACCGGCUUAAUUUUUGUGAUUUCUUAGAUUCCUCUAACUUGGAUAAUCGAUGGUUAAUCGUACUGGAACUUAAUAGUGGAUUUGAUGUUCUGUUCUUGAUGUGCUAAUCCAAGGUUGAUAAUUAUUUCAUUCAAGUGGGGUAAAGUUUGAAUUCCUACCACCGAUUGCAAAGAUCUUCUGUUCCAUCGAUUUCAGUUUGUUUUGUUGACCUCUUUCCCACUACAGUCACAGAACUGAGCAACGUUGAUGGUCAAGUGUGCCGUGGCGGCAAGGCCACAUUCCUUGCCGGAAACGCUGGUUCGGGAGCUACAAGUGGCUGGACAAGAAGGUAUUUCAGAUUAAAAUGUUCUGCUCCAAAAAACCUUUAAUUCAGAACAUAGUAUGUGUCGGCCUUGUUCUUUGUUAGAUUUUGAAUACAACCACAUUUCACUCCCGAAAUCAGUAUCAUAUAAAAUCAAAUUCCAUGGCUUCUGUGCCACUUGUGCAAGAAACAUUCUAUGGGUUAGAUAUUUGGAAAUAAUAUGAUGAUGCAUGGAUGGGUUUUCUUUAUUCACAAAAUGAAUUUUACAUGUCUAAAUGCAUUGAUUGAUUGGCAUGUUCUUUGUUCACUGCACAACUUACUUCGGAGCAUCCUCUAAUGAAGCGAUUUUUUGUUCUGUUCUUGAUCAGAACCAUGCUGAUAUGGUCUGUAUCCUGAACCCUGAAGUAGAAGGCGUUUAAUCCGAUGCAUUUUCCUACUGUUGUGAUCUUGUAAUAUUGCCUUCUGGCCAAAUCAGCAAAAUCCCUGGUUGAAGCUGCGCAAGCUCUGUUUCUUUGGCUGUUGUUCCCUCUCAGCAAUCCAUUCGACUCGGGUAUAUGUUUGUAAUUAUUGUAAUGGAUUUGUACCAUUUAUGAACCAUGUCAAAUUGUUAAGGUGGGUGAUGGGUAUUACAACUAUGCAUCAGUACAUAAACAUGGGUAUUACAACUAAUACACUCAUUCGACGCUGUAGCAUGUCAGAUUCUCAGUACACAUUAUUUUUUUGCG